CGAAGAGAGCCGAGUGGGGAGGGGGGAGCCGAGUGUCUACGGAAAGAGCCGAGCGUCGACGACAGGGCGGAGCAUCCAGGGAAAGAGCCACUGCUGGUCGGGGAGGGCCGAGGACUGACGGAAAGAGCCGAGGGCCUAAGGGGAGGGCGGAGGGGCCGUGUGCAGCGAGGACGCGCUAAGGAAGCGGAGGCGGAGCGACUGAGAGGGCUGGGCGGCGAGGGGCGGCGGCGGCCAUGGGGCGGGGCGGCACGUGGAGCCGGAGUGAAGUGGGGACUCGGGGACACGGGGGUCGGGGUCUCUCCGCAGAGGCCCGGGAGCCCCCGCGCCCCCGGCGGGCAGGUAGCAUCCGGGAUCUCGCGGCCGCGCGCGGGGACGGACGCGACCCUGGAAGAGGCGGCGGGGGCGGGCGGGGGCGCGUCUGGACCGCGCGUGGCUGCGGACGGCAGGGGCUGCCCUGGGCUCGCUCGCCGGCGUCGUGCGGGCGGCGUCUGCGGAGACGGGACCGCGCGGGGCGCUCCGCGGCGUCGGCUCUGCGCAGGGCGUCCCGUCGGGCGGCCCGGGCUGCGGACGGUUCGCGUUCGCGUUCCUUCGGGUUCGUUCGCGUUCAGGCGGCCGCUGCUUCCUGCGGGUCGCGGGCCCCGAGGGGGCGCUGCUGUCACGGGGGUGGGGGCUGGCGGGCGCGGGUCGUCCCCGGGGCGCCCCCGGCUUCCGUCAGGAGCCCCGGCCGCCGCGCGGGUCCCCAGCGCCCGUGGCCGGGAAGGCGGAGGCCCGCGCGGACGGCGGGAGCGGGUGCGCCGUGAGACGGGCGUGAGCGCAGCGGCGCCGUCCCCUCGCCGCGUCCCUGGGGCCCCGCCCGGCUGUCCGCGCUGCGACCUCCCGCCCUCGGCCAGCCCUGCACACGCGCCGCCGCUCGUCCUGCCGGGGCCGCUCUUCCCGGCGCGGUCUGUGUCUCCCAGGGUCUCGCUGGGAGGGGGCCCUGCGCGCCGGCUCAGUCAGACCGGGGUCCCCUCCCCGCGUCUACACCGCAGGCGGCAGCCCGGCGCCCGGGGCGGGGUUGGGAGGACAGGAGCUCCGUGCGGACGGGAAGCAGAGGGGGCAGCCCUGUUCCUCCCUGGUGGCACCAACGCCAACCGCGCCCUAGACCCGGCCGUCCUCACCGUCUCUACCCCAGCCCUAACUGGAUCCUGA
rnacentral:lncRNA from 1 species